UUUCCAUGGCUACAACUUAGUGAUAAAUGGGAGAAAAAAUGAAGGACAGAAAGCAGAGGAGGGGAAAUGGUUUGAUGCAAUGGGGACAGUCCAAUUCAAGAUGUGAGAUUAAUGCCUUGGGGAGAGUUUAACGUCACUUUCGGAGGUCUGCAGUGCCAUCAACAAUCAGGAGGAUGAAAUCUCUGACAGGAGGAUUGACCAGGCCUAUCUCCAGAGCAGCAACUGCACGUUCAGAAUGAACAUCACCCCGCUAACUGGCCGCUGGAGGGGAACUUGAAAGAACAGGAGCACUGACGCACCUCUGAAGAUGGUUUAGCAUCGACCACUGACAGCUGACUUCA